AGAGUUUCGAGUCCUGGCUCAGGAUGAACGCUGGCGGCGUGCCUAACACAUGCAAGUCGAACGGACUCGGAUUGAACCUAGUGAUUCCGAGUUAGUGGCGGACGGGUGAGUAACGCGUGGAUAACCUGCCGUAUGCAGGGGAGUAACAGUUGGAACAAGCUGCUAAUACCGCAUAAGCGCACAAUACCGCAUGGUACUGUGUGAAAAGAUUUAUCGGCAUACGAUGGAUCCGCGUCCGAUUAGCCAGUUGGCGGGGUAACGGCCCACCAAAGCGACGAUCGGUAGCCGGCCUGAGAGGGUGGACGGCCACAUUGGGACUGAGACACGGCCCAAACUCCUACGGGAGGCAGCAGUGGGGAAUAUUGCACAAUGGGGGGAAACCCUGAUGCAGCGACGCCGCGUGAGUGAAGAAGUAUCUCGGUAUGUAAAGCUCUAUCAGCAGGGAAGAAAAUGACGGUACCUGACUAAGAAGCCCCGGCUAACUACGUG
rnacentral:rRNA from 1 species